UAGAGACAGAGAGAGAGGCGAUGAGUAGACGGAGAAAGAAGAAGAGAAAGAGAGAAGCGAUGAAAUCAAAAGCCUAGGCAGAACGGUAAAGUCCGAUCUCCCACCACCAUCAGACUCCUGUAACUCCACAGGAAAAAAAUUUGGCCUUUACUGGCCAAAAGUUUAAUGUAUCUUUUGAGAAAAGCUUUUGAAACAUUCCAUGAUCAAUUGAAGCACCAUGUAUCUUGAAGUCGACCUAGGCUAAUGCAGCAAUGGAGUGCUUGUCUUUUUUCCAGCUUUUUGGUCAGAUGGUGGAGAAACUGUCAAAAAGGGGGCUAGAACAAUGGCCCACUACGUCUAAUCUGGAAUGCAAGAAUAAAUCUUGACAUAAAAACUGCUAAGAAUAUGAAGUUUUGGUACUCUGCCAGGAAAAUAGUAGCUCUAUCAAAAAUGGCCUUCGGUUGUAACUGAAUUUUUUCAAAGUAGAACCUGUUACAAGCAU